rnacentral:rRNA from 1 species
UACGGAGGGUGCGAGCGUUGUCCGGAUUUACUGGGCGUAAAGGGCGCGUAGGCGGCCACCGCAAGUCGAUUGUGAAAUCUCCGGGCUUAACCCGGAAAGGUCAACCGAUACUGCGGGGCUAGAGUGCAGAAGGGGCAACUGGAAUUCUCGGUGUAGCGGUGAAAUGCGUAGAUAUCAAGAGGAACACCUGCGGCGAAGGCGGGUUGCUGGGCCGACACUGACGCUGAGGCGCGAAAGCCAGGGGAGCGAACGGG